AUGAUAAAAAAUAAAAAAGAAUGCAGUAAAUAGUUCUGCUGGUAUUUUUUGAGACCCAACAACUCUGGUGUCUCAUUUUUUUUUUUUUUAAUUUAUUAAAAUUAAAACAAAAUAAAUACUUCCACGUGUACUUGCUUACAAUUUUAGGAAUAAUAGCCUCCCGUAACUCCGAAUGUAACCACUGCGAACGCUUCAGUCGAUUUAAUUUCCCCUACCAUGGCUUCACUCGGAGCGAAUAGACAUCUAAUACUUUUA